AAAUUGACUGCACUAAUAAAAAUAUAAGACCUCAAAAAUAAUUAUAAUUAGUCAUCCUACACUCAAAUAGUCAUUUGAAAUUAGUCUUCUAUAAUUAGGACAACCAUAUGCCUGAUUUGCC